CAUCAGAAGCAUUUGGGUAACACUCUCUAAAAAGUCCACGGUUGCGGGAAAAUGUGUAUCUGCCAUUUACUGCUUCGUCAAUUUUCACAACGGUUGAUAAGUUAUCUCUUUUAACUGUAUAUGAUAUCCAAUAGUCUGUUGCAAAGGAAAUCGCAACAAAUAUCAAUGUGAGUAUUGUGAAACAAGUCCCCGCAACAAGCAUCACAGUACCGCACGUGCUUCUAGAAGCUGCCAUUUUAAAAGAAGCAGAUGUCUAAUUUCCAAAUUCCACAAAUUUCCACUCAACGGGUGGUGUCGAAAACCGAAACGCUCUGUUCAAGGUAGUAAAUAUCCGAUGAAGUCAUGUGUCGCAAAGCUCUGUUCUACUUGGUUAAGUUUGUAUAAUAGCUUUAAAAGUCUACUUUAAAAUAAGUUGAAAGACAUUUACACAUUUAUAUAUAGUAAAUAUCCAUUGUACUAACAUCUUGAUUGUAAUCUUGAAAUUCAUAUAAUUAGAAAGGGAUUUCCUACCCAUCGGCCAUUGUUCAAAAUGUCAGGUAACAAUCGACUAUAAUUAAAUCAAUGACUUUUUU
rnacentral:lncRNA from 1 species